GAUGAACGCUGGCAGCGUGCCUAAUACAUGCAAGUCGAGCGAACAGACGAGGAGCUUGCUCCUCUGACGUUAGCGGCGGACGGGUGAGUAACACGUGGAUAACCUACCUAUAAGACUGGGAUAACUUCGGGAAACCGGAGCUAAUACCGGAUAAUAUAUUGAACCGCAUGGUUCAAUAGUGAAAGACGGUUUUGCUGGCACUUAUAGCUGGAUCCGCGCCGCAUUAGCUAGUUGGGAAGGUAACGGCUUACCAAGGCAACGAUGCGUAGCCGACCUGAGAGGGUGAUCGGCCACACUGGAACUGAGACACGGUCCAGACUCCUACGGGAGGCAGCAGUAGGGAAUCUUCCGCAAUGGGCGAAAGCCUGACGGAGCAACGCCGCGUGAGUGAUGAAGGUCUUCGGAUCGUAAAACUCUGUUAUUAGGGAAGAACAAAUGUGUAAGUAACUAUGCACGUCUUGACGGUACCUAAUCAGAAAGCCACGGCUAACUACGUG
rnacentral:rRNA from 1 species